UUUGGUUUAGUGGCGGACGGGUGAGUAACGCGUGAGCAACCUGCCUUUCUGAGGGGGAUAACGUUUGGAAACGAACGCUAAUACCGCAUAACAUAUAUUUGUGGCAUCGCAGAUAUAUCAAAGGAGCAAUCCGCAGAGAGAUGGGCUCGCGUCCGAUUAGCUAGAUGGUGGGGUAAUGGCUCACCAUGGCGACGAUCGGUAGCCGGACUGAGAGGUUGAACGGCCACAUUGGGACUGAGACACGGCCCAGACUCCUACGGGAGGCAGCAGUGGGGGAUAUUGCACAAUGGGCGAAAGCCUGAUGCAGCAACGCCGCGUGAGGGAAGAAGGUAUUCGUAUUGUAAACCUCUGUCUUUGGUGAAGAAAAAAAUGACGGUAGCCAAGGAGGAAGCCACGGCUAACUACGUGCCAGCAGCCGCGGUAAUACGUAGGUGGCAAGCGUUGUCCGGAAUUACUGGGUGUAAAGGGUGCGCAGGCGGGUAUGCAAGUUGGAUGUGAAAACUAUGGGCUCAACCCAUAGCUUGCAUCCAAAACUGUGUAUCUUGAGUGAAGUAGAGGUAGGCGGAAUUCCGAGUGUAGCGGUGAAAUGCGUAGAUAUUCGGAGGAACACCAGUGGCGAAGGCGGCCUACUGGGCUUUAACUGACGCUGAGGCACGAAAGCAUGGGGAGCAAACAGGAUUAGAUACCCUGGUAGUCCAUGCUGUAAACGAUGAUUGCUAGGUGUGGGGGGUCUGACCCCUUCCGUGCCGGAGUUAACACAAUAAGCAAUCCACCUGGGGAGUACGGUCGCAAGACUGAAACUCAAAGGAAUUGACGGGGGCCCGCACAAGCAGUGGAGUAUGUGGUUUAAUUCGAAGCAACGCGAAGAACCUUACCAGGUCUUGACAUCCAACUAACGAAGCAGAGAUGCAUCAGGUGCCCUUC
rnacentral:rRNA from 1 species